rnacentral:rRNA from 1 species
GAUCCUGGCUCAGAAUCAACGCUGGCGGCGUGCCUAACACAUGCAAGUCGAACGAGAAAGUGGAGCAAUCCAUGAGUAAAGUGGCGCACGGGUGAGUAACACGUGACUAACCUACCCUUGAGUGGGGAAUAACUUCGGGAAACCGAGGCUAAUACCGCAUAACACCUACGGGUCAAAGGAGCAAUUCGCUUAAGGAGGGGGUCGCGGCAGAUUAGUUAGUUGGCGGGGUAAUGGCCCACCAAGACGGUGAUCUGUAUCCGGCCUGAGAGGGCGCACGGACACACUGGAACUGAAACACGGUCCAGACUCCUACGGGAGGCAGCAGUGGGGAAUUUUGCGCAAUGGGGGAAACCCUGACGCAGCAACGCCGCGUGGAGGAUGAAGUCCCUUGGGACGUAAACUCCUUUCGAUCGGGACGAUUAUGACGGUACCGGAAGAAGAAGCCCCGGCUAACUUCGUGCCAGCAGCCGCGGUAAUACGAGGGGGGCGAGCGUUGUUCGGAAUUAUUGGGCGUAAAGGGCGCGUAGGCGGUCGGAUAAGUCUUGUGUGAAAUCUUCGGGCUCAACUCGAAGUCUGCACAGGAAACUAUCUGGCUUGAGUGUGGGAGAGGUGAGUGGAAUUCCUGGUGUAGCGGUGAAAUGCGUAGAUAUCAGGAGGAACACCUGUGGCGAAAGCGGCUCACUGGACCAC